rnacentral:rRNA from 1 species
CAUGUGUGUUAGUGGAAGCGUCUGGAAAGGCGCGCGAUACAGGGUGACAGCCCCGUACACAAAAGCGCAUGUGCUGUGAGCUCGAUGAGUAGGGCGGGACACGUGGUAUCCUGUCUGAAUAUGGGGGGACCAUCCUCCAAGGCUAAAUACUCCUGACUGACCGAUAGUGAACCAGUACCGUGAGGGAAAGGCGAAAAGAACCCCGGCGAGGGGAGUGAAAAAGAACCUGAAACCGUGUACGUACAAGCAGUGGGAGCACAGGUUUACCUGUGUGACUGCGUACCUUUUGUAUAAUGGGUCAGCGACUUAUAUUCUGUAGCAAGGUUAACCGAAUAGGGGAGCCGGAGGGAAACCGAGUCUUAAUUGGGCGUUAAGUUGCAGGGUAUAGACCCGAAACCCGGUGAUCUAGCCAUGGGCAGGUUGAAGGUUGGGUAACACUAACUGGAGGACCGAACCGACUAAUGUUGAAAAAUUAGCGGAUGACCUGUGGCUGGGGGUGAAAGGCCAAUCAAACCGGGAGAUAGCUGGUUCUCCCCGAAAGCUAUUUAGGUAGCGCCUCGUGAAUUCAUCUCCGGGGGUAGAGCACUGUUUCGGCUAGGGGGCCAUCCCGGCUUACCAACCCGAUGCAAACUGCGAAUACCGGAGAAUGUUAUCACGGGAGACACACGGCGGGUGCUAACGUCCGUCGUGAAGAGGGAAACAACCCAGACCGCCAGCUAAGGUCCCAAAGUCAUGGUUAAGUGGGAAACGAUGUGGGAAGGCCCAGACAGCCAGGAUGUUGGCUUAGAAGCAGCCAUCAUUUAAAGAAAGCGUAAUAGCUCACUGGUCGAGUCGGCCUGCGCGGAAGAUGUAACGGGGCUAAACCAUGCACCGAAGCUGCGGCAGCGACGCUUAUGCGU